GACGAACGCUGGCGGCGUGCUUAACACAUGCAAGUCGAACGGAAAGGCUCCAGCUUGCUGGCGUACUCGAGUGGCGAACGGGUGAGUAACACGUGGGUAAUCUGCCCUGCACUCUGGGAUAAGCCUGGGAAACUGGGUCUAAUACUGGAUAUGACCUUUCUCCCUAUGGGGUUUGGUGGAAAGUUUUUCGGUGUAGGAUGAGCCCGCGGCCUAUCAGCUUGUUGGUGGGGUGAUGGCCUACCAAGGCGACGACGGGUAGCCGGCCUGAGAGGGUGAUCGGCCACAUUGGGACUGAGAUACGGCCCAGACUCCUACGGGAGGCAGCAGUGGGGAAUAUUGCACAAUGGGCGGAAGCCUGAUGCAGCGACGCCGCGUGAGGGAUGACGGCCUUCGGGUUGUAAACCUCUUUCAGCAGGGACGAAGCGUAAGUGACGGUACCUGCAGAAGAAGCACCGGCUAACUAUGUG
rnacentral:rRNA from 1 species